UACGUAUGGGGCGAGCGUUGUUCGGAAUUAUUGGGCGUAAAGGGCGUCUAGGCGGGGGAUUAAGUUAGGUGUGAAAGCCAUGGGCUCAACUCGUGAAUUGCACUUAAAACUGGUUCUCUUGAGUUCGGGAGAGGAGAGCGGAAUUCCAGGUGUAGCGGUGAAAUGCGUAGAUAUCUGGAAGAACACCAGUGGCGAAGGCGGCUCUCUGGCCUAGAACUGACGCUGAAGCGCGAAAGCGUGGGGAGCGAAC
rnacentral:rRNA from 1 species